rnacentral:rRNA from 1 species
ACUACGGGUGGCUGCAGUGGGGAAUAUUGCACAAUGGGCGCAAGCCUGAUGCAGCCAUGCCGCGUGUGUGAAGAAGGCCUUCGGGUUGUAAAGCACUUUCAGCGGGGAGGAAGGCGGUGAGGUUAAUAACCUCAUCGAUUGACGUUACCCGCAGAAGAAGCACCGGCUAACUCCGUGCCAGCAGCCGCGGUAAUACGGAGGGUGCAAGCGUUAAUCGGAAUUACUGGGCGUAAAGCGCACGCAGGCGGUCUGUCAAGUCGGAUGUGAAAUCCCCGGGCUCAACCUGGGAACUGCAUUCGAAACUGGCAGGCCAGAGUCUUGUAGAGGGGGGUAGAAUUCCAGGUGUAGCGGUGAAAUGCGUAGAGAUCUGGAGGAAUACCGGUGGCGAAGGCGGCCCCCUGGACAAAGACUGACGCUCAGGUGCGAAAGCGUGGGGAGCAAACAGGAUUAGAUACCCUAGUAGUC